UGCAUUCACUACUGUAAGUCGCUCUGGAUAAGAGAAUCUGCUAAAUGACUGAAA
rfam:Salmo salar isolate Sally breed double haploid chromosome ssa24, whole genome shotgun sequence.